rnacentral:rRNA from 1 species
AUUGAACGCUGGCGGCAGGCCUAACACAUGCAAGUCGAACGAGUGGCGGACGGGUGAGUAAUGUCUGGGAAACUGCCUGAGGGAGGGGGAUGACAACUGGAAACGGUAGCUAAUACCACAUACCAUCAGAUGUGCCCAGAUGGGAUUAGCUAGUUGGUGGGGUAACGGCUCACCAAGGCGACGAUCCCUAGCUGGUCUGAGAGGAUGACCAGCUAGACUGGAACUGAGACACGGUCCAGACUCCUACGGGAGGCAGCAGUGGGGAAUAUUGCACAAUGGGCGCAAGCCUGAUGCUGCCAUGCCGAGUGUAUGAAGAAGGCCCUCGGGUUGUAAAGUACUGUCAGCGGGGAGGCGUUACCCGCAGAAGAAGCACCGGCUAACUACGUGCCAGCAGCCGCGGUAAUUC